UGAACGCUGGCGGCGUGCCUAAUACAUGCAAGUCGAGCGAACAGACGAGGAGCUUGCUCCUCUGACGUUAGCGGCGGACGGGUGAGUAACACGUGGAUAACCUACCUAUAAGACUGGGACAACUUCGGGAAACCGGAGCUAAUACCGGAUAAUAUAUUGAACCGCAUGGUUCAAUAGUGAAAGACGGUUUUGCUGUCACUUAUAGAUGGAUCCGCGCCGCAUUAGCUAGUUGGUAAGGUAACGGCUUACCAAGGCAACGAUGCGUAGCCGACCUGAGAGGGUGAUCGGCCACACUGGAACUGAGACACGGUCCAGACUCCUACGGGAGGCAGCAGUAGGGAAUCUUCCGCAAUGGGCGAAAGCCUGACGGAGCAACGCCGCGUGAGUGAUGAAGGUCUUCGGAUCGUAAAACUCUGUUAUUAGGGAAGAACAAAUGUGUAAGUAACUAUGCACGUCUUGACGGUACCUAAUCAGAAAGCCACGGCUAACUACGUG
rnacentral:rRNA from 1 species